GGACAGUUUGAAUGUCAUCACUGUACAGGAGAGGAGAAACUCCGAGAGAUCUUGCUCAUGCAAUCAUGUAUUUGGUCCGUGUUUAUCAAGUGCCUACUCUAAGGGGGAAAGUCCAACUAUUCUGGGCAAAGCAGAAGACGGGAGGAAGAAGGCCAAGAUCUUUGUUUCCGUGAAGUUGGGUUCUGAAAAGUGAUGGUAGCAGAUGUAAGGAUUAAACAAGUGAUGAAGCCACGAGCAAACUUCAGAUGGUGUUACCUUCAUAUGGGGGACCCUAGAGGAUGUCGUGGACUGAAGAAGACCUACUACACCCCCGGCCCUCAGAGAAGAAACUGAAGAUGCCUGUGCAGCCAUCUCAAUGGCCAAGGCCACCCAAGCAGCGGUUCACUGAAUUCCUAGACGUCUGGAAGCUCACGGACACCACACUGAGCACCUCUUGCAAUUGUAGAGGCAAAGGAACAUCUCUCAUCUAUCAGGAAGUGCUUUCAUCUUCAACCAAAGGAAAAGAUCACAUGAGGAGUGAUGGCAAAGCACGGCCAGGGGAGGAAUUUCACAUGACGUGCAGAUGCUGGAGGAUGACGACACAUACUGGAGCUCACAGGAAUCGUGAGGUCCAGCGCAUCACACCUGUCUCUACGUUGUGCUUUCUGGUUCCUAGAAACAAAUACGUGUCUUGUUGUGCUAAACUUCGUCUUUUUCAACUUUACACCAUGCAUCUUGGUUUCCCUUGUACAAAAUACUAUGGAUAUAAUUCGAAGUCGACUUACUUUACCUUGUUGCAGGAUUAAUUUUAAACACAGAAUUCACAUUUCUGUUUGGAGAGUCAAAUGAAAGUCUCAUGAUCAUCAUUAUACUAAUGCAUGAAUGCAGCUGUCCAAUAACCAAGCAGGUAUUUGUCUAGUUUCUAUUCCAUUUAUUAGACUGCAAGAAAAAGAAGCAUUAAUCUACCUCUAGUGAUAUUGACAAG
rnacentral:lncRNA from 1 species